rnacentral:misc_RNA from 1 species
GAUGAAGAACGCAGCGAAAUGCGAAAAGUAAUGUGAAUUGCAGAAUUCAGUGAAUCAUCGAAUCUUUGAACGCACAUUGCGCCGGCCAGUACUCUGGCGGGCAUGCCUGUCUGAGCGUCAUUUCAACCCUCACGCCCCUAGGGCGUGGUGUUGGGGAUCGGCCAAAGCCCGCGAGGGACGGCCGGCCCCUAAAUCUAGUGGCGGACCCGUCGUGGCCUCCUCUGCGAAGUAGUGAUAUUCCGCAUCGGAGAGCGAUGAGCCCCUGCCGUUAAACCCCCAACUUUCCAAGGUUGACCUCAGAUCAGGUAGGAAUACCCGCUGAACUUAAGCAUAUCAAUAAGCGGAGGA